GGAACAUUAGGAGGGAAGAAAGAACGUGGUCAUCUGAAGUGUAAGUAAAUACAGACUUUUCUUCUCUUCCUGAGUUUUCUAAAUUAUGACCAAUGGUUAGAGUAAAAAUUAUAACACUAAUCUGGUUCUAAAUGUAUGUAGAGGAAAUAUUUAAGACAAUUAUAAUACAAACAGAAGAGUAUAAGAAAACAUAAGGGAGAUAAGACUCUAUACUUGAACUGGUAAAAUGACAACACCAGUAGACUAUGAAGAUAGAUAGAUGAUUGACAGAUAAAUAGAUAGAGAGAGAGAGAGAGAAUAAACAUCAGAUCUGAUUCUGAUGACUUUCUAUUUUCUUACAUUUGUUUCAGUCACGUUUGCAAUUGGUUGCUAAGCAUUUCUAUGAUGACUGCUUUAAAAACAUUGUCAGCUAAUUCUAACAUCUCUAUCAUCUUUGCAUUGGCACAUAUUGAUUGUCUUGUUUCAUUCGGUUUCAGAUCUUCCUGGUUCUUUGUGUGAGUUAUUUUCAAUCAAAACCUGGACAUUUUAGGUAUUAUGUUAUGAAACUCUGGAUCUCAUUUAAACUUUUUUUUUUUUUUUUUGAGAUGCAGUCUUGCUCUGUCACUCAGGCUGGAGUGCAGUGGCAUGAUCAUAGCUCACUGUAAUCUUGAACUCCUGGGCCCAAGGGAUCCUCCUACAAGCCUCCUGAGUAGCUAGGACUACAGGUACCACCAUACCUGGCUUUUAAAAAACUUUUUUUUUUUUUUGAGAUGGAGUCUUGCUCUGUCACCCAAGCUGGAGUGCAGUGGUGUGAUCUCAGCUCACUGCAACCUCCACCUCCCGGGUUCCAGUGAUUCUCCUGCCUCAGCCUCCCGAGUAGCCUGGAUUACAGGCACGCAUCACCAUGCCCAGCUUAUUUUUGUAUUUUUAGUAGAGAUGGGGUUUCCCCAUGUUGGCCAGGCUGGUCUCGAACUACUGACCUCAGGUGAUCCACCCGCCUCGUCCUCCCAAAGUGCUGGGAUUACAGGUGUGAGCCACUGUGCCUGGCCUAAAAAAAUUUUUUUUAUAGGGACAGUGUCUUGCUAUGUUGCCCAGGCCGGUCUCGAACUCCUGGCCUCAAACAAUCUUCCCAUCUUGGCCUCCCAUACAUCUUCCAUUCAUUUUAUAUGGUGCUACUUGACACCACUACAGCAGAGUGGGGGUGGGAGUUCCUCCUCAUUAAUGCCAGGAGGGGUGGAAGUUCUCCAGUCAGCCUCUGAUGAAAGCUGAUGGGCAGGGUGGGAGACUUCUCUUAUUUCUGGGUGGAAGUGGGACUUGUGGUUCCCCACCUGCUCUGCUGAUACCUUCCUGGCUGGGAGAGGUAGAAGUGCCUCACUGGUGUUCCCCAUGUGUCUUCCUUUGACAUCAUGGGAAAGUGUUCCCAGGCAGUGGCGACAGUCCCAACGCUCCUUGCUGCCUCCCCUGACAGCACCCGAUGGGGGAGAAGGAGGAGCACAUCGUUACUGUCAGAUGGGAGUAGAAAUGCACACUCCUCAUGUGAUGGCCACUUGAACCACAGGGAGAGGCCUCAUGACCACCUGAUGGGAAUGGAAGUCCCUACUCUCUAUUCCGCCUUCUCUGAUGCCACCUCAUGGCAUUGUGGGAACAUCCAUGAGGAAAUGCAGGUUGCACACUUGGCUCAGGGCCCACCAUAUGCUGGGGGCUGAGUCCAUGCAUGGUAGCCAUGAUGGUUUGAGCUAAUGCCAGAAGCCCUGGUGUGAUGACCAGUCCUGCCAUUUCCUGGCUUUGUGAUCUUGGUCAAGUUAUGCCACCUCUUUGGGCCUCUGUUUCCUCAUCUCUUCAGUGGAGAGAAAUGAUGCUCAUCUGAGAUUAUGUCUGCGAGAGCACCUGCUACUGAUCCUUAAUACAGAUAAAUACCACAGUUGAGCUGGUACUUAUUAAGCAUUUACCGCCCACCAGGCCAGUGAUACCAACUUCCCAGGCAUUAACUCAGUGAAAUGGCUUUUUUAAUCCCCAUUUUACAGAGGAAGAAACUGAGGCUCAGAGAGGUAAAGCCUCUUGCUCAUGGCCACACUGCUGGCCCCACUGCACUGAGUCUACUUCUUGAUAGAGUGUGCCACCUUCUCCGUGUCUAAGAAUAAGAGGAACCAUUAAAAGUUUAAGAUCUGAUUCACCAGAGAAAACCUCUGGCUCAGGGAUCUGCACAGCUCCUACUCUGAUUAAAUAUAAAAAAAUCGGCCAGGCAGCCAGGUGCAGUGUCUCACAUCUGUAAUCCCAGCACUUUGGGAGGCCUAGGCAGGUAGAUCACGAGGUCAAGAGGUCAAGACCAUCCUGGCCAACAUGGUGAAACCCUGUCUCUACUAAAAAUACAAAAAAAAAAAAAUUAGUUGGGCAUGGUGGCACGUACCUGAAAUCCCAACUACUCGGGAGGCUGAGGCAGGAGAAUCGCUUGAACCUGGGAGGUGGAGGUUGCAGUGAGCUGAGAUUGCGCCACUGCACUCCAGCCUAGAGACAGAUCAAAAAAAAAAAAAAAAAAAAUCGGCCAGUUGCGGUGGCUCACGCCUGUAAUCCUAGCACUUUGGGAGGAUCAGUUGAGCCCAGGAGUUUGAGACCAGCCUGGGCAACAUAGUGAGACCCCAUCUCUAUGAAAAAAAUACAUAAAAUAGAAACAUGAGAUGUUAAUACAGAGGUAACUGGGUGUGGGGUUAUAUGGAAACUCUGUACUAUUUUGCAACUUUUCUGUAAAUCAAAGUCUAUCCUAAAAUAAAAGUUUCCUUAAAAAUACAGUGCCUGACAGCUACUCAGGAGGCUGAGGCAAGAGAAUUGCUUAAACCCAGGAGGCGGAGGUUGCAGUGAGCCAAGAUCACGCUAUUGCACUCCAGCCUGGGUGACAAGAGCGAAACUUCGUCUCAAAAAAAGAAAAAGAAAAAGAAAAGAAAAAAAAGACAACUACAGCGUCUGGGCUGGGUACAGUGGCUCAUGCCUGUAAUCCCAGCACUUUGGGAGGCUGAGGUGGGAGGAUCACUUGAGCCCUUUGCAAUAUAUCUUUGCAGCUCUUUUCAUCAAGAGACAAAAUCUGUUUCCCAGUGCUUGAAUCUGGACUGGUCUUCUAAAUUGCUUUGGCCAAUAGGAUGCAACAGAAAUAACUAUCCUGGCAUUUCUAGGCUUAGGCCUCAAGAGAUCUUGAACAUUUUCACUUGCUCUCCUGGAACCCUGAUGCUGCCACGUGAACAAGCCCAGGCAACCUUACUGGAAGAAGAGAAGCAUCAACUCCAACACAUGAGUGAGGUUAUCCUAGACCAGCCAAACCCCAUCAACCACAAACAUGAGUAAGCCCUGCAGAGACCCACCGAGCCCAAUCCGGAUCAACCAAACCUCCCAGCCUGCUUUAAACUUGGUCUCACUCUGUUGUCCAGGCUGGAGUGCAGUGGAGCAAUCACGGAUCACUGCAGCCUCAACCUCUCCCAGUUCAGGUGAUCCUCCCACCUCAACCUCCUGAGUAGCUUGGACUAUAGGCAUGUACCACCAUGCCCAGCUAGUUCUUCUGUUUUGGGUAGAGACGGGGUUUUGCCACAUUGCCCAGGCUGGUCUUAAACUCCUGGGCUCAAGUGAUCCUCUCACCUCGACCUCCCAAAGUCCUAGGAUUACAGGCAUGAGCCAUCACACCUGGCCAAAGCCACCAUAUAAAGUAUUGUUGAUUAAUAUAUAUUGUUGGGCCAGGAGCGAUGGCUCAUGCCUGUAAUCCCAGCACUUUGGGAGGCUGAGACAGGCGCAUCACCUGAGGUUGGGAGUUCGAGAUCAGCCUGAUCAACAUGGAGAAACCCCAUCUCUACUAAAAAUACAAAAUUAGCCGGGUAUGGUGAUGCAUGCCUGUAAUCCCAGCUAAUUGGGAGGCUGAGACAGGAGAAUUGCUUGAACCUGGGAGGCGGAGGUUGCGGUGAGCUGAGAUCACACGAUUGCCCUCCAGCCUGGACAACAAGAGCGAAACUCCAUCUCAAAAAAAAAAAAAAUCUCUAUAUAUAUAUAUGUUCAAUUCAUUCACAUCAAACUCACAGCCAAUACCAUAAUACCUCAUGUUUGAAUGAAGUGUAUCUAACACAUGUAUUUUCCCCAUAAGGCACAUCACAACCUUCUUGUGCUUAGGGAUACUAGAUAGACAGUACUUUAGCACUACACUUGGGGAUCAUUUUAAACACAAAAGUCAUACCAAAAAAGCACACAAACAUUAAAUAUGUGGCAGUAAACAUACAGUGAAAAUGUACACUAUGGUCUGAAAGUUUGUGUCCCACCCAAAUUCAUACACUGAAAUCCUUAGCCAGGCAUGGUGGCUCAUGCCUGCAAUCCCAGCACUUUGGGAGAUCAGGGCAGAAGGAUGGCCUGAACCCAGGAGUUCCAGACCAGCCCUGGCAACAUAGUGAGACCUCGUCUCUACAAAAAAUACAAAUAUUAGCUAGGCAUGAUGGUGCGCAGCUGUAGCCCCAGCUACUUGGGAGGCUGAGGUGGGAGGAUUGCUUGAGCCUGGGAGGUUGAGGCUGCAGUGAGUCGUGAUCGUGCCACCAUACUCCAGCCUGGGUGACAGAUCAAGACCUUGUCUCAAAAAAAAAAACAAAAAAACAAAAAAAAACACCACAAACUUUGGGCUUAUGCAAAUAUGGAGGUUGAGAAGUGCCACAAUCUGCCAUCUGCAAACUGGAGACUCAGAGAGGCCAGUGGUGUAGUUUAGAGGCCUGAGAACCAGAGGCCCGAUGGUGGACAUUCCAGUCCAGGUCUGAAGGCCUGAGAUGCUGGAGCUCCGAGGGCAGGAGAAGACUGACGUCCCAGCUCAAACAGGCAGAGGGAGAGCGCAUCCAACCUUUCUCAGCCUUUUUAUUCUCAGGCCCUCAAUGGAUUGGAUGAUCCAUAUUGGAGAAGGCCACCUGCUUUACUCAGUCCACCGAUUCAAAUGUUAAUCUCUUCUGAACACACUUUCCCAAGCAUACCAGAAAUAGUGUUUAAUUAGAUAUGUGGGCAUCCUGUGGCCCAGUUACAUUGACACAUAAAAUUAACCACCACUGGCCUGGUACAGUGGCUCACGCCUGUAAUCCCAGCACUUUGGGAAGCCAAGGUGGGUGGAUCACCUGAGGUCAGGAGUUCAAGACCAGCCUGGCCACAUGAUGAAACCCCAUCUCUACUAAAAAUACAAAAAUUAGCCGGGUGUGGUAGCACCCGCUUAUAGUCCCAGUUACUCAGGAGGCUGAGGCAGGAGAAUCAUUUGAACCCAGGAGAUGGAGGUUGCAGUGACCUGAGAUUGCACCACUGCACUCUAGUCUGGGUGACAGAGGGAGACUCCGUCUCAAAAAAAAAAAAAAUUAACCAUCAUAAUGGGUAAGUUUAUUUUUCAUAUCUUCCAUUCUGUAUUUUCUAAUUUUUCUGCAAAGUACAUUCAGUCAUUGGAAAUCAGAAAAGUUAUUGUCUUUUUUGUUUUUAAAUUUUUUUGUUGGUUUGAGACAGAGACUCACUCUGUCACCCAGGCUGGAGUGCAGUGGCAUGAUCUCGGCUCACUGCAACCUCUGCUUCCCGGGUUCAAGCAAUUUUCCUGCCUCAGCCUCUCAAGCAGCUGGGACUACAGGCGUGUGACACCAUGGCCAGCUAAUUUUUGUAUUUCUAGCGAAGAUGGAGGGUUUUGCCAGUUUUGCCAUGUUGGCCAGGCUGGUCUCAAACUCCUGACCUCCCGCCUCAGCCUCCCAAAGUGCUGGGAUUACAAGCAUGAGCCACCAUGCCUGGUCAAGUUAUAUCUUUUUUAAGAGAGGAAGGAAUUCUGUAAAUUCAAGGUACUGUAUCAAGAUCCUGAGCCUAAUGUCACCCUUUGACAAGCUCAGUAGAACUCCAGCUGGAAAAAUUUCUAGAUAAUGCUCUCAUGCAGAUUUUUCAAAACUUAAGUAUGAAUCUUGGCACAAAAUGUGCUCGCUCAUCCACAUAAAUCUCAUUACUGAGGCAAUAAACCUUGCAAUUGCUUGUGCUGUCUGCAACGGCAAGAGCUGCAGUAUCCAAAGCCCAGCCUGGCCAAACUCCCCUCACAAAUCAGAUAUUCAACCUCACAGGAAAAGAGAAUCACUGUUAAUUAAUAACAACAAAGGAUUAGGCCAGUGGUUCUGAACCCGGGACAACUCUACUCCCCUCCUCCCCCCAGGGGACAUUUGGCAGUGUCUGGAGACAGUAUUUGGUUGUCGUUGACUAGGAGGUGCUCCUGGCAUCCAGUGGAUAGAUCCCAGGAAUGCUGCUGAACAUCUUACAAUGCAUGGGACAGUCCCCACCCCGCCCCACAGCAAAGAAGUAUUAGUCCCCAAAUGUCAAUAGGAGUACGGUUGAGAAACCCUGGCUCUUCAGACAUAUGGAGCCUUAUUAGAUCUUCCUGGGCUAAGAGCUUUACAGGAAAGAUCUCAUUUAAUCCUCACAGCAAUCCUAGGUAUAGGGCCUAUUAUCAUGCCCAUUUUACAGAAAAGGAAACUGAGGCUAAGAAUCACAUACCAUUUCUAGGCCGGGCACGGUGACUCAUGCCUGUAAUCCCAGCACUUUGGGAGGCCAAGGCAGGUGGAUCACCUGAGGUCGGGAGUUUGAGACCAGCCUGGCCAACAUGGAGAAACCCUGUCUCUACUGAAAAUACAAAAAUUAUCUGGGUGUGGUGGUGGGCACCUGUAAUCCCAACUACUUAGGAGGCUGAGGCAGGAGAAUUUCUUGAACUCAGGAGGCAGAGGUUGCAGUAAACUGAGAUCGCGCCACUGUACUCCAGUGUGGGUGACAGAGCAAGACUCCGUCCCAAAAAAAAAAAAAAAAAAAAAAAUCAUGUGGUAUUUCUGACUUCAGCGUUUGUACUCUGCUCUCCUCCAUGCCCAAAUUGUUGAGUUAUUGCUCUGUUGUUGUUUUGAGGUAAGGUCUCAGUCUGUUACCCAGCCUGGAGUGGAGUGGAGUGGUGCAAUCAAGGCUCACUGCAGCUUCAAACUCAUAGGCUCAAGCAAUCCUCUUGCCUCAGCCUCCUGAGUAGCUUGGAGUACACAACCACAUGCCACCACACCUGGUGAAUUUUUGUAUUUUUUGUAGAGAUGGAGGUCUACGCUGUGUUGGCCAGGCUGGUCUCAAACUCCUAAGCUCAAGCAAUCCUCCCACCUCGGCCUCUCAAAGUGCUGGGAUUACAGGCAUAAGCCACCAGACCUGGCCUGUUGUUUUUAAUUAUGGAAAUUUUCAGGUAUAAACAAAAGUAGAGAAACCAAUUGAACAACCCUGCAUGGUCCCUCUACCCAGCUUCAGAGCUUCAGGCAGAACCUCAAGCACAACAUGCUUCCCUGCAAUCAAGAAUCCCUCAACAAGCCAAGAUGAAUCACACCAGGCCUGGGCCCUUGGGAACACAUGAGUUCCUCCUUCAGGUCGCUGGAAACGCGUUCCCUCUUCCUUUACAGGUUUUGAUCAUAUCCCCCAUCAGCUGUUGCCUUUCCCAGCAGAAAAGUUAGACGUAAGAUCAUCUGUUCUCUCCCUACUUUAAGUGUCACCUCCUUUUCUGAGAGGUGAGAAAAUAGUUUUCUCCCUAAGGAAAGCUGAGAUGGGGAGAACAUAUGCUCAGAAACAGAUAAUCUUGCCACCAAAAUUGUUAGUAGCAGGGAGGAGCUAGUAUUUGCAACGUGGGGUGCAAAGCAGCUCCCUCCAUGUCUGCCUGCAUACAUAAAUCCUUAUGAGAAUAGGUGGCAAUUUCUUUUAUUCAAACAAAUGCUCUCUAGUUUCUGCUUUGUGCGAAGCUCAACUGUGCUCAAUCCUGAAUACAGAUGACAG
rnacentral:lncRNA from 1 species